UGGGGGCCAGGUCGGGGUCCUUCCCUGCAGGUUUUAACAAGCCCUCCAGCUGAUAACUUCUGCCUACUAAAUGUGGAGAAUCGCUGGGUUAGAAAUAAGGGAGCCAGGAGAGAUAUGAUAAGAACCAGCCAGGGAGGAGGAGGAAGAGCAGAGUCUGGGGGUGUUGGAAGCGUUAAAAAAGAGAGCGUCUCACGGCUUCCCAUGCUCCUGGGCACUGUUCCCUGGGUUCCACAACGUGAGGCCACUGGUGACGUCAUGUGUGGGCUCAAGCCUGACUGGAUGGAGGUUGGACAGCGAGGGGACUGGAGGCCGUGGAAAUAGAUCUUUGGAGGAGUUCUGCCCCAAAGGGCUUCUGAGAAGGAGAAGUCAAGAGUUUGAUGUCUUUGUCAUCCCUGCUCGGGCAGCAGGAUACUUUCCCAGAGGCCAUGGAGACAGGACGCCUAGGUGCCCAAGCACUGCAGAGAUGGAUUCCAGUGGGAGAUGCCAAAACUCAUUUUUCUGGCUGCAGUUCUCGGACAAGACUUGACCUCUUCCAGUUGGGACUCCCUGCAGCAAAUCACAUUACACAGCUGUGCCUUUAGAACAAUGAGACACACCUAGAGGAUCAGACCAGGAUGCCAAGAAAAUGUCCACACAGAGAAACAGUAAACACUCUGACAUCAUAUGAACUGAUUGGCUUCCUAUAUUCUGAGGUCUUUUUAUAGAGAUUUCACUCAGAUAAAAAUGCAAGCCGCUGAACCAUAUGCCUAAGUGUUUUCUCUACGCUGCUGGCCUGAGCAGCUGGCAAAACACGAUCUAGGACUGAUAAACUAUCCUGACAAAAGCACUUCAGAGAGGUCUGCAGGCUGGGGUCUGAAAGAGGUCUGAAUUUUAAAAAGGUACUAAUUGCUCAAAGGAUGGAACAGUUCCUCCGAAAUCUAACCCGGUACCUUAAUAGAACCCAUUAAGGCACUGUGAGAAUCAUAGAGAGAAAACAUGUCCCCAGUAAGGAAGGAUGACGUGGAAACGCACUGACCAGGACUUUUCAGGCACCGAUGAAUCCUUCAAGAACUGAAAGAAAAACUUGAUUUUAGCAACUGAGCAAGAAACAAAGGUGCGAAAGUCGAUCACAGAGGAACUAUUAGAGAUAAGGUUAAGGGUCUCUGUGCAAACGUGGAUGUCUGUGACCUCCAUCCUCCCAGCAGAUGUUGCCAAGGUCUGUUGGGAAGCCUGGGGGGGCGGGCAGUGCCCAAAGGGUGGGAAGGCAUGGCUUAGUCACACACUUGUGACCUCUGACCCUCCAGAGAGAGUAUGAGCUCCACAGCUGGGCCUGGCCUGCUCCUUUGGCACCUGCGGUGUGGAUUUCAUAUCAACAGUUGAUCGCUGUCUGACAGGACUUUAUUAAACAUACAGAACCCUACAUUACUGGGCAGUGAAUCCAAAGGAGGACUGAACCAAUCAGGGCUGAGGACUUGGGUGCCUGCUGCCAUGUUUUAUCUCAUCCCACUGCCUCCGCACCAGGGAUCUCAAUAAUUUCGGGCUCUCUGAUGAUGGCCUCUCAUCCCUAUGUUUUAUUUAAAGAGCUUGAAACUGGAAAAUGAGUGACCAUCUUUCUGCCUAACACUGAACACUAUGCUGGAGUAGAGCCCUCAGCUCUUGCUCCCCAUUGCCAAUGGCGUUUGUGAUCAGAACAGAUGAGCUGUAUCAAAUAACAAAGCCUAGUUCCUGGAUAGCUACUCUGUGUCCCAGAUGAACAAUUAAUCCAUUGCUGCUGUCUGCAAAAAUAUGAUCUAGACAAAUAACAACAUAAAAAACCACCCCAAGCUUAUUCAGUAUGCACACAUUGAUUUCUGGUGAUGUUUCCAGGAAUUAAUUGAGUAUAAAAUAUUAUGCAGAAAUGGGGGUAAUAGAGGGUAAUGAUUUUACAAAACACAGCAGUGAGCCCGGCCUCCCUUUACCCUCUCCUCCAUCCCCUUCUUCUCUGCCUGUUCCUUCCUCUGAGACAGGCAUGCACAGCCGGGGGAGUGGCUAAGAUUCCUAAAUGGAAGAUGAAUCAUGGGCAUGGGGUGCAGCUCCAUGUGGGCUCUGGGGGGAGUUGCUCUCAGGCGUUAAUGGCCUCAUUGCUGAGGCUAGAGAAGCAGCAGCAUGCCUUCUGUAAAAGAUAAACUAGUACUGUCCACACAUCACAGGGUAAAUGAAAUUCCUGUGAGCUUUUUUCCCAACUUGAAGAUGGCUGUACUCUUUCUAAACAGAAGUUGGAGAGUGAGAUUAUGUUAAUGCCCCAUCUCAUGGGUAAAGCAUGAGAGAGGCGACCAGGCACAUGAUGUCUGUAGAUGACACUCUCUCCUGUCUUCAGAAUAUGCUGGAAUUCAACCUUCCAUGCAGCUGAAGUUUUGAGCGUGGGCUUUUUUCAUGUUAGCUUUGGGAGAGAGAGAGUAGUGUUAUACCACCUUUUCAGCUAUCUACUCUGGUCUUGGAGCUUCUGGCUCAUUAUUGUUUACUGAGCACCUACUAUGUGCUAGGCUCUGUGCUUGGUCAAUACAUAUGCACUAUCUUACAUAAAGACAGUUGUCAUCUCUCCGGGUAGAGAUCCCAUGUCCCCAUCAAACCAACAUAUAUUCCAAGAAAUUAAGCUUCUUCCCAAGGUUAAAGUGAAAUAGUAAAUGAUUGAAAAAUUGGAAGCUUGGCAUGCAUCCUUUCAUUAUCCAAGAGCCAGACUAGAGCUUCGCUCAGAGGGCCAGAAUCAGGAAGGAGCUGCCACUGUGCGUGGGGUCCAUAGCAGCACCAGCCCAUUGGCAGGAUUCCCAGGUCUGCAAAAGGAGAAGGUCUCAGCAUUGACCCAGCUUGUUGAAGAAGUGCUUACCAGUCCUCCCAGUAACUGACAACCAAGGGACAUUCUUCCUCGGCAUGCAAACAUCUAUCACAGAACCUCAGUAUAUAAUUAGCUUGUAUGAGUGGCCAAAAGAAUACCCAAAGCUUGCUAAAACAAGAAACAUUUAAAUGGUACAUGAACCACCCAGGGUUACCAGCUCCCUAGUGCCCAGGGCCGACCUUCCCACUUGGCCUCCUAGCAAUUUUACAUGUUAGAAAGUUCUUGGUAUACGAUAGUUGGUUACAUUCAGACAAAAUAUAAUCAUAAAUUAACACACAUUUUUGGAAUAUACAUUCAAAAAUGAGUGUUUCUGAGUUUGUGUGCUUUUGUGAGUUUGUGUGCUCUGGGUAGCGGAGAACAUUAAAAUUACGUGAUUCAAUAGAACCAUGUUGAAGGAUGCUGGUUCUCAAUGUAAAGGCAAGCUGACGUCAUCACCAUCUCUGAGCCAUCUGUAUUUCUUUUCUUACAUCAACUCAACACACCCCACAGUGGUGGGAAUAACUAUGACCUGAAAUAUUAUCACAUGGGAAUUCGUUCAGUUUUUCUCCAAAUACCUGCCUCCCAGUUUUACUAGGCAUAUGGUCCACAGGAAAGCCCUGCUCUUUCAAGAAUAGCUACAGACACAGUCAGCAUCAAGGGUCACCAGGUCUCAAGGGGCACUUUUCAAACUUUCUUACCACAGUCUCCCAAGGAUAGGUCGAGUCAGCACGUCACCUGGUGGCUCAGCCCCAAGGCCUCCAGAAAAUGAAUAGCUUCUUCAAAGUCUCAUGUUUCAGCUUAAAAUUUUUGGAAAUCCCUCAGUUUGCCCAUAAUAAGGCCACAAAUUUUAAUAUAGAAAUAAUGUUUUAUAUUACUUAUGUACUUAGGGCUGAAGCUUCAGGAAGAUGCAUCAUAUGCAGCUAGUAUUUCAAGAGCAUUCUCAGGGCACAAACACAGAAUCAAACGUCCUUGGUUCUUAAAAAUCAGAGCAAGGGUGGAGAGUGAAGAGAAAUGGAAAAAGGGAAGCUGACUGGCCAACUGAAGAGCAGAGUUAGAUUGACUGUAAACCAAGAGCGAGAACAAACCCAGCUGGCCCAAUUUCACACAAAACUGUGCACGUGUGCAGGAGCUCUAUGUCCCAGCUGUGCUGGUGACCUAGCCACCACCUCCCAGAAAGGAGCCAUUAUCAUAGGGCUGCUCCAGGGCUGAGUUCCUAAGCAGUGCUCCUGGUCUGCAACCAGAAAGCUGACUCACUGGAGUGCUUUUGCACUGACCCCACCUGGAAAUCCCCAAAGAAUCUUCCAGUCCUCCUCUCCUUCCUCAGCAAUGAGCUGGGGAGUACAUGUCCCCCUCUGCUGCCCCAGUUCCACAGAACAGGUCUUCCUCCUGACUGGGAACCCCGUAGGGAGUAGGCACCAGGGUG